rnacentral:rRNA from 1 species
GACGAACCGUGCGAACGUUAUUCGGAAUCACUGGGCUUAAAGCGCGCGUAGGCGGCUCGGAAAGUCGGUCGUGAAAUCCCCGGGCUCAACCCGGGAACUGCGUCCGAUACUGGCAGGCUUGAAUCCGGGAGAGGGAUGCGGAAUUCCAGGUGUAGCGGUGAAAUGCGUAGAUAUCUGGAGGAACACCGGUGGCGAAGGCGGGUCUCUGGGCCGUUACUGACGCUGAGGAGCGGAAAGCGUGGGGGAGCGAACAGG